AUGCUUUAAAAUACUGAUCUAGACUGUAAGCCUGUUUUACAGAACAUGGCAUCUCCCUGGGUCCUAUGAAGGAUGAGAACAGCCUUCUCUUCAUUUUUCAUUCUUUCCUUUGAUGAAUCUCGUAAUGUCUUUCUGAUCAACCAGUGCUGAUCUGCUAUUGGCAUUCUAGGAGGAUUUCCCAUCAUGCCAUUUUCCAUGUGCAAUUACAAUAUUCCAGUGAAUUGCUUCCCUGUUGGGUACAUUAACAAGUUUCUAACUGAUUACUUGGAAUCAUUUGCCUGAUGUUUGCUAUGAGUUUUCACUGAUGGUGAGUUAAAAUAACUUUUAAUGUUAAGUGGUUUAGCUUUACUUACGGCACUCGGAGUUUGGGAAAUUUCUGGAUAUCAUUUUCAGACAUGUUC